AAUAAGGAGGAAAAUAACAUGAUGCGCAGUUUGAAUUGAAUCAUUUUAGAUAUUUGGUAAAAAGUUAUUAGAAGCCUAUAUAACACUGGAUCCGCGACUUUUUUCCUCCUAAGUUUAAGAUGUUUUUCCGCUGUGUGUUCUGCUCCAUGGUUUCAACCAGCUCCCUGCAGAAAAGGAAACAUUCGUCAUCUGCGACAUCAGACUGCUCGUGCGCUCCCGCUCAGAUUCCAGCGAAUUAUUCAAAUCCUUCAACACAAGAAGGGAAAAAACAUCAGA